rfam:Schistosoma mansoni strain Puerto Rico chromosome 4, complete genome
GGCCUUUUGAAUUCUUGCUGAGAUUCUCUCAGACACAAGACAAUUAGGACUGAUGAGACUCCCAAGAUAAGUGAAGCA